AAAGCGUGCGCAGGCGGUUAUGUAAGACAGAUGUGAAAUCCCCGGGCUCAACCUGGGAAUGGCGAUGGAGACUGCAAGGCUAGAGUUUGGCAGAGGGGGGUAGAAUUCCACGUGUAGCAGUGAAAUGCGUAGAUAUGUGGAGGAACACCGAUGGCGAAGGCAGCCCCCUGGGUCAAAACUGACGCUCAUGCACGAAAGCGUGGGGAGCAAACAGGAUUAGAUACCCUAGU
rnacentral:rRNA from 1 species